GAUGAACGCUGGCGGCGUGCCUAACACAUGCAAGUCGAACGGAGAUUACGGACGGAAGUUUUCGGAUGGAAGACUGUAAUUCUUAGUGGCGGACGGGUGAGUAACGCGUGGGCAACCUGCCCUAUACAGGGGGAUAGCAGCUGGAAACGGCUGGUAAGACCGCAUAAGUCGGUUAAAUCGCAUGAUUUGAUCGGGAAAUGAGCAAUCAGGUAUAGGAUGGGCCCGCGUCCGAUUAGCCAGUUGGCAGGGUAAAAGCCUUCCAAAGCGACGAUCGGUAGCCGGACUGAGAGGUCGGACGGCCACAUUGGGACUGAGACACGGCCCAAACUCCUACGGGAGGCAGCAGUGGGGGAUAUUGCACAAUGGAGGAAACUCUGAUGCAGCGACGCCGCGUGAGUGAAGAAGUAUUUCGGUAUGUAAAGCUCUAUCAGCAGGGAAGAUGAUGACGGUACCUGACUAAGAAGCCCCGGCUAACUACGUG
rnacentral:rRNA from 1 species